rnacentral:rRNA from 1 species
GACGAACGCUGGCGGCGUGCCUAAUACAUGCAAGUCGAACGCAGUGGGGACUGGUGAGUAACCCGUGGGUAACCUCCCAUCAGAGGGGAAAACACUUGGAAACAGGUGCUAAACCGAUACUUCUGGAUGGACCCUUGGGGCAUUAGCUAGUUGGUGAGGUAACGGCUCACCAAGGCCACGAUGCAUAGCUGACCUGAGAGGGGGCUCAGCGACACGGGGACUGAGACACGGCCCAGACUCCUACGGGAGGCAGCAGUAGGGAAUCUUGGGCAAUGGACGAAAGUCGGACCGAGCAACGCCGGGCGAGGGAAGAAGGUUUUCGGAUCGUAAAACUCUGUUGUUAGAGAAGCGGUAUCUAACCAGAAAGCGACGGCUAACUACGUGCCAGCAGCCGCGGUAAUAC